UUAUCUCCUUUUCCUGUGCCAAGACAGCCUCCGAAAGGUUCUCCCCUCUCGGGCGUGUUAGUAAUACGAGCCAUUGCGCCUGCAGUGUGAAGAGUCAGUUCUGCCGUGUUGAGUUGCGUUAGAGAGACAAGGGCCUCCACCAAGGAUUACCCGUAGACUUUCCCUUACUACCGGAACGAAAAUGUCUGACCACAUCAUCUCUGCCGCGAAGAGAACGGGUUCUGCUGUAUACAGUGUCGGCAAGGUGGCGGCGGCUUCUGGACUGAACGUAGUGGGCACAUCGUUUCCGUACUUACGCAUAACAGGAAAGAAAACGACUACAU